AAAUUGAAGAGUUUGAUCAUGGCUCAGAUUGAACGCUGGCGGCAGGCCUAACACAUGCAAGUCGAGCGGUAGCACAGAGAGCUUGCUCUCGGGUGACGAGCGGCGGACGGGUGAGUAAUGUCUGGGAAACUGCCUGAUGGAGGGGGAUAACUACUGGAAACGGUAGCUAAUACCGCAUAAUGUCGCAAGACCAAAGUGGGGGACCUUCGGGCCUCAUGCCAUCAGAUGUGCCCAGAUGGGAUUAGCUAGUAGGUGGGGUAACGGCUCACCUAGGCGACGAUCCCUAGCUGGUCUGAGAGGAUGACCAGCCACACUGGAACUGAGACACGGUCCAGACUCCUACGGGAGGCAGCAGUGGGGAAUAUUGCACAAUGGGCGCAAGCCUGAUGCAGCCAUGCCGCGUGUGUGAAGAAGGCCUUCGGGUUGUAAAGCACUUUCAGCGGGGAGGAAGGCGGUGAGGUUAAUAACCUCACCGAUUGACGUUACCCGCAGAAGAAGCACCGGCUAACUCCGUGCCAGCAGCCGCGGUAAUACGGAGGGUGCAAGCGUUAAUCGGAAUUACUGGGCGUAAAGCGCACGCAGGCGGUCUGUCAAGUCGGAUGUGAAAUCCCCGGGCUUAACCUGGGAACUGCAUUCGAAACUGGCAGGCUAGAGUCUUGUAGAGGGGUAGAAUUCGGUGUAGCGGUGAAAUGCGUAGAGAUCUGGAGGAAUACCGGUGGCGAAGGCGGCCCCCUGGACAAAGACUGACGCUCAGGUGCGAAAGCGUGGGGAGCAAACAGGAUUAGAUACCCUGGUAGUCCACGCCGUAAACGAUGUCGAUUUGGAGGUUGUGCCCUUGAGGCGUGGCUUCCGGAGCUAACGCGUUAAAUCGACCGCACGGGAGUACGGCCGCAAGGUUAAAACUCAAAUGAAUUGACGGGGCCCGCACAAGCGGUGGAGCAUGUGGUUUAAUUCGAUGCAACGCGAAGAACCUUACACGGUCUUGACAUCCACAGAACUUUCCAGAGAUGGAUUGGUGCCUUCGGGAACUGUGAGACAGGUGCUGCAUGGCUGUCGUCAGCUCGUGUUGUGAAAUGUUGGGUUAAGUCCCGCAACGAGCGCAACCCUUAUCCUUUGUUGCCAGCGGUUCGGCCGGGAACUCAAAGGAGACUGCCAGUGAUAAACUGGAGGAAGGUGGGGAUGACGUCAAGUCAUCAUGGCCCUUACGACGGGGCUACACACGUGCUACAAUGGCAUAUACAAAGAGAAGCGACCUCGCGAGAGCAAGCGGACCUCAUAAAGUAUGUCGUAGUCCGGAUUGAGUCUGCAACUCGACUCCAUGAAGUCGGAAUCGCUAGUAAUCGUAGAUCAGAAUGCUACGGUGAAUACGUUCCCGGGCCUUGUACACACCGCCCGUCACACCAUGGGAGUGGGUUGCAAAAGAAGUAGGUAGCUUAACCUUCGGGAGGGCGCUUACCACUUUGUGAUUCAUGACUGGGGUGAAGUCGUAACAAGGUAACCGUAGGGGAACCUGCGGUUGGAUCACCUCCUUACCUUAAAGAA
rnacentral:rRNA from 1 species